rnacentral:tRNA from 1 species
GCGGAUGAAGCAAAUUUGAACAAGUCAGUGGAAUCAGAAUCCACCACGCGCGGGUUCAAUCCCCGUCGUUCGCC